UUCACACGUGAAAAAGAGAGAAGAAAGAAAAAGAGAGAGAGAAAGGGGGAUAGAGAGAGAGAAUAGCUUGGGAAAUAUCAAAUAUUUUAAUCACGUACUUUCAAGGUGGAGGAAAGAUUUUCAACGUAUUUCAAAUUUUUUUUAAAAACGAGGUAAGAUACAUUUAUGUGCUAAGUGUUUUACAUUUUCCUUAUGCUCUUAUAUACAAUUAAUAUGCAUGGAUUACUAGUGGACCUUCGAGUUCUAGAGAAAGAGAUAUGAUAUUUCUAAGGGAAUUUAAGAGGAUUUAAAAUGAGUGUGUCGCUUGGUCACCGAUAUACUCCAUAAGAGAAGAGCGUUAUGAAGUGUAUAAUUUAUUUGUUAUGUAAUGGUGUAUGGAAAUUACACUUAUUUUAUUGGGUAUUUUAAAAUACUCACUCUUACAUUAAUUUUACAGGUUAGUCCGGGUUGAUUGAAAUAGUGGCGAAUUGGUGAUGCGGGCUGCCAAGUGGAUAAAGGAAAAGAAAUAAAUUUGUCGUAUUUAAAAUUUAUCAGUCAGUUUAAUUUAUUCAGAAUGUGAUAUUUGAAUUUGCUAAGAGUUUAUAUUUAUGUUUAGAUACGAUUUUCAUAUUUUCAAAUUUAGAUUUAUAAAUAUUGCAUUUAUUUGAUUAUUAAAGAAUUUUUUUAUAUAGUUCCGCAUUUAAAAUAAAGAAAAGUGAGUUUUUGAUAACGUUUCGAUGUUUAUAGAAAAAAAUUGGGGCAUUACAUAAGGAGCCUAUUUGUUUUUCAUUUUCAUAGUGAGAAUGCAUUUUGAAAUAAUUGAUUGUUGACAAUUGUGUGGCUAAGAAAUAGGAAAAAGCUUUAAUUUUGUGUGUAUUAUUAUUUUAUUAAAAAAUAUAUGGUUGAAAAAAAAGAGAGAUAAAAAUAAAUUUUGGAAAAAAUUCAGUAUCAAACAAGAUUUUCAUCCGUCACGUUUAAUUUUUUUGUCCAGGUACAUGGAUGUAAGCAAUCGGGCGAUCGAUAACAUUGAUAACUUUUUAUUUUACGGUGAACAAGUAGUAACCGGAUCUAGAAUGUUAAUGAGCAGGGAUUUAAUUAACUCUAAUGUCGCCCAUAAUCUUCUCCUUUCGUUUUCUUGAUUUGUUGUAUAUCUAUGAAGAUUGAAGAAACGAAAGAAGAAAUCAAAAGCUUCGAUUAAAAUAUCCCGAAAGAUAAUCGGGGUGGCAGGGCGUUAAGCUAAAUCACCAAAAAGAAAAAUGAUACAUUGGUUAAAGCAGCUACUGAUCGCUUUUGGAGCCUCAUUUUUAUGGCUCGCUUGCUUGAUUUACUUCACCCAGGUUCUCUUCAUUCCCCCGAUUAAUUAUUAAUAUAUAUGUUUUUGCAUUAGUUUUCUCGAUGGAGUUUUUCUGUCUUGGAAAUAAUUUUGGAUUUUUCUAAUGUGUUUUAUGAUUUAUUGAUCUAUUGAUUUCUUGUUUUGGAUUUCUCGGUUUGUUAUAUUCUUAGUUUAUAGUUUUCCUACGAACAUGUUUAGAAUUUCCUAUUUAAAAUCUCCACAAACCUGUUGUUUCAUGAAACUAUCAUGAUUCGCAAAUGCCGAAACUAUCAUAAUUGACAAUUUUCCAGUUUGGGGACAAUAUGCUUCAAGAUUAUUAAAGGCAACUCCACUUGAAUUGCAUUGAUAAAUAGUAGAUUUGCUCCAUUUCUGCACAAGGUGGGAAUAAGAUCUAAAUUUUCUCUUGCUAUCAGCAUUAAAUAACUGUAAAUAACGAAAUAAUAAUGAGCAAAUGUGUGGAGACGCUGAUUUGGCAGCCAGCAGUCUGUCACAUGACGAUUUCCGGUAUUUUACAUGUCUAAAUAUUAUUCUAGUAGCAUGAUUUAGUGGCUGCUCAUGACAGUGCUAGUUCCUUGUGAAGAUAAUUGCCUCGCAUUAGACUACAAUGGGGAAAAGUGGUCUAAAAUAAGUCAUCUUAAAUGCAUUUGUAACUCCAUAGAUUACAUGCGGUGGAAAUUACCUAUGAGUUAUUACAAGAAGACAUAUGAAGAUAGAAUUGAUUGUCUUUUAAAACGAGGGAGACCAUUUUUGCUAAUAGCUAUUGAUAAAGCAUUGUAGUUUUCGGUCGCUAUUUUAAUUUUUUAAAUAACUCUAUGCCUUUCAAUCAAGAUAUACAUGUUUGUUAAUAAAAUGGUGA
rnacentral:lncRNA from 1 species